UUAACUAUUAUAUAGUACUCAGACAAUAUUAUUAAGGAUUUUUAAGUUCUCUGGCAGGCACUAACCAGCCGAAGCCGAUAGCCUAGGGCGGGCCUGCCAAAGCAACAAAGGUAUUGUAAACAAAGGGUGGGGUUUUUGAUUUUAAAUUGAUGUCAAUUUAAAAUCGGAACCGGUAAUGAUCCUUCCGCAGGUUCACCUACGGAAA
rnacentral:misc_RNA from 1 species